rnacentral:rRNA from 1 species
UGCGGUUAUACAAAAAUUAAUAUAAAUUUUUUAAAUAAAAUUAUUAAAUAAUAUUUUAUUAAAAUUUAAAAUUUAAAUUAUUAAGUGAAAUUUUAAUUUAAAAAAAUAUUUAUUAAAUUUAUGAUUUAAUAAAUUUUAUUUAUAAACUAGGAUUAGAUACCCUACUAUAAAAAUUUAAAUAAAUAAUUUUAAAAUAGUAAAUUAUUAUAAUAUUAAAACUUAAAUAAAAUGGCGGUAUUUUAGUUCAUUUAGAGGAAUCUGUUUAAUAAUUGAUAAUCCACGAAUAAAUUUACUUAAUUAAUUAUUUUGUAUAUCGUUGUUAAAAAAAUAUUUUUUAAAAAAAUUAAUAUUUAAAAAUUUUAAUUAAAAAUUAAAUCAGAUCAAGAUGCAGAUUAUAAUUAAGAAUAUAAUGGAUUACAAUAAAAUUAUUUAAAUGAAUAUAAAUUUGAAAAAAUUUAUUGAAAUUGGAUUUAAAUGUAAUUUUAAUUAGUUUGUAGAAAUGAUUAAAAAUUAAAAUAUGUACAUAUUGCCCGUCGCUUUCAUUAAUAAAUUGAAAUAAGUCGUAACAAAGUAGAGAUAUUGGAAAAUGUUUCUAGAAAGAU